rnacentral:rRNA from 1 species
AGAUGGCGACCGGCGCACGGGUGAGUAACACGUAUCCAACCUGCCGAUAACUCGGGGAUAGCCUUUCGAAAGAAAGAUUAAUACCCGAUGGUAUAGUCAGACCGCAUGGUUUGAUUAUUAAAGAAUUUCGGUUAUCGAUGGGGAUGCGUUCCAUUAGGCAGUUGGUGCGGUAACGGCUCACCAAACCUUCGAUGGAUAGGGGUUCUGAGAGGAAGGUCCCCCACAUUGGAACUGAGACACGGUCCAA